GUUCUCACUCUGGUAGAAUACAUACUAAAGUUGGAACAAUAUAGAGAAGAUUAGCGUGGCCCCUGCACAAGGAUGACAGGCAAAUUUAAUGAAGCAUUCCAUGAAAAA